ACGGAUGCCUCGACUCUGGAGUCCGAUGAAGGACGUGGCCAGCUACGAUAAGCCUCGGUGAGCCGCUAGGCAGGCACUAUUAGCCGGGGAUUUCCGAAUGGGGCAACCCAUGGGGGUUAUACCCCCGUAUCCGGCUUCGGCCGGAAGGUCACUCUGCGAACUGAAACAUCUCAGUAGCAGGGGAAGAGAAAUCAACACGAGAUUCCCUGAGUAGUGGCGAGCGAAAGGGGAACAGCCUAAACCAUGAUCGCAAGAUUGUGGGGUUGCAGGACCUCAAUAUCCGACUCCCUUCUCAUAGGCGAACGACCCUGGAACGGGCGGCCAAAGAGGGUGAGAGCCCCGUAGACGAAAUGGGGAGGGGCGGUAGGGGAAUCCUAAGUAGGGUCGGACACGUGUAAUCCGGCCUGAAUCCGGGUGGACCACCAUCCAAGGCUAAAGAGCUCUAGAGAUCGAUAGCGAAUAGUACCGUGAGGGAAAGGUGAAAAGCACCCCGAAAGGGGGAUGAAAUAGUCUCUGAAAUGUGAUGCGUACAAAGAAGUCGGA
rnacentral:rRNA from 1 species